UCUAUUAUGGCAGAUUAGUGCAGUGGAUUUAAACCCCAUACAUAAAGAUCAUACUUUUCUUAGAA
rnacentral:tRNA from 1 species